rnacentral:rRNA from 1 species
UGAUCCUUGGCGGUGCGAUCAUACUCCGGAGUUAAGCGCGCUUGGGCUAGAGUAGUACUGGGAUGGGUGACCUCCUGGGAAGUCCUAGUGUUGAACCCU